CAAUCAGCCAGUAGAGUACGCUGAAGUUACGUUUCUUUGCCCGAUCACAUUUAUAAAAUAUCGUACAUGUAUGCGCGCGCGUCCAUUGUCCGGUUUACCGACCACCAUCCGUCUCAAACCGUACACGGAGCCUAUAGUAUACCCGAUUCAUCGCCGUCCCAUAUCUUUUCUUCCUUUCAUUACUUUCGUGUACUCGUUAAUAAGCCUGAAAACACGAUGGACGUCACUCUUUUGCUUCAACAUUCGCAGUACGCAAUACCAAUUGGAAUUGUUCUAAUUUGUGCCAUCCUUGUCUUUGCUUUCGGUUUCAAGAAGGCCGAGCAACCACCGUUCGCUCAACUUUCCGACGUGGACCGGAAACUUAGCAACAAAAAGCGCGGUAAAACCAAAGAUAAGAAAGCUAGCAAUGGUCAAGUAGCAAGUGAGAAAGCAAGUCCACUUAAGAAAACUGUGGUAUCAAAAACAGAAAUUUCAUCAAAGAAAUCUACAUCAAAAGCAGAUGAGAUAGAUAGUAAGUCAAAGGAAAAGAAACAAGAAGAUAAUAAAAUCUCUCUUAAGAAGGAAAAAAAUCAAAUUGAUGCAAAAGAUGUAAAAGAAAAUAAAGUUGAACAAACAAAGAACAAGAAGAAUUUGAAAAAUUUAGUUCAAGAGAAACCAGUAGACUUUGAUGAUGGAGAUUGGGAACAAGCAUACUCUAGAAAAGAUAAAAAAAAUAAAAAAAAAGAAGAGGAAAGCCCUUCAAAGAAAGGAAAAAAAGCCACGAAAAAGGCUGAUAUAAUUAAUGAAGCUGUUGCAAAACAGAAGGAACUAGAUAAAGGUGAAGUUAAAGAUAAAGUUGCUAAAGAAACAGAAAAUAAAGAAUUGAAGGAAAAGGAUAAAAAAGAAGUAAUUCUUACUCCAAUUUCCACUGACAAGAUAAUUAAGGAGAAAGAAUCAGAAAAGGAAGAAGAACAAAAUAAGACUGAAAAAUCAGAAAAAGAAGAAAAGAAAAGUACCAAAUCAAAAAAGAAUAAAAAGAUUUCUGAAGAAGAAAAUACACAAGUAUCAAUAAUCUCUACAGCAGAAAUAAAUAUUAAAUCUGUUGAAAAUUCAGUGCAAAAAAAGAAAGAUGAAGCAGAAAAAAAGGCAGAUAAUUCUGAUCCUAAAGUGGAACAAACACGGGAAAAAAAUACUUAUGCAUCGGAUGAAUCAGGAGAUGCAAAAUCGCAGAAAAAAAAUAAAAAGAAGGCUCGGAAAGAUAACUAAGGAAAGUCAAAUGGAUUGAUAAAUUUCUCUUAUUAAGAAGAAAUGGAGUGAGAAACCUACUUGAUUCAAAAAAUAUGCAUUGCUUUGAACAAGAUGGGUGCUUUUCAAGUGACUUAUUAAUCAACUGGCUGACCAAAUCGUUCCUCAUCUUUGUAUAUAAUAUUAAUUGGAUUAAGUUCUUUAAGCGAAUAUAGUUACAUAUAGGACUCAUGACAUCAGAAUGUGAUGCUGAUUACAAAUAAAUUUAUAAUAAGUGUGUGCCAAGCACUAAGAAAUCUAUACAAUCAAGUUACAGUAAAAUCCAUUUAGAAAUACUGUCCAGAUAGUGUCAAUAGUUUUUAUGUACUAUGGGACAAUACUUAAAAAAUCAAUCAUUAAAUUAUAAUAUAGAAAUUAUAUUUGUGAAGGAAAAAUGGUUGGUAAAAAAUAGAAAAUAUAUAUGUUAUUGAAAAAUAAUUAAUUGUAAAUAUACAAAUUAUUGUUAUAAUAAUAUUCUGGAAAAAAAACUUAAAUAAGCAAUAUGGGCCUAGCAAACUUUGAUUUUCUGAGUAAUUCAAAGUUUGUAUUCACAUAUCUCAUUUUAUAUUAGAUUUAAAUAAACAUAAUAUAUUUUUUACACACAAAGUAUAAUUUGAUCUAUGAUAGAUAAAUUGAAAUAUCAGAAUACAGACUUGGAUUGAGGCUUAAUUUUCAAAUUAUUAUUUGUUAUUACAAUGGAUCUCAGAUAAUAGUUUUAUUUAAAUAUUUUGAUAAAAUGAUAAUGAUAUUCAAUGGUUUUGCUAAGUCCACAUGUGCGUAAAUCACAGUGCUAUAAAUUAUCUAUGAAAAUAUAGAAAUUGUUUUUAUAUAUGUACUCGUGAAAACUAAAUUAAUUUUUCAUGCUUUAUAUUGCUACAAUAUAUUAAAAUAUAUCUAAUAACAAUUGGUACAAAAUCUGGAGCAACAGAUUACUAAUGAGUGUGGUUAAAGUUUUAUCAGAUAUAUAUAUUUUUUUCAUUAUUAUCCAUAUAAAUCAUUUUAAUGAGCUUUUAUAUUAUGGCUCAUGUAAAAAUGGAUAGAUAAGUAUUUUUUAAAUAUAUCAGAAUCCAUCUGAAAAAAUGCUUUUAUGCAAAAUGUAAUUAAUAAUUGUUUCAUUAAUAUAUAAAACAGCAUGCUCUGUAUAAACGCAAAAAACUGAUGAUAAUUAUGUAUAAAGAUAAAUGUGUUUAUAUAAAGACAGGUGGAUUAGAGGUAUAUAUAUUAUAUAUUAUAAGUCUUAUUUUACAUAAGGUGCAUAAGAAGUUUAUAUUUUAUUAAAAAACAAUACAAAAUGUGAAAAAGUAUAUUAUUUGCAGCUAUCAAUUAAAAACAUAUUAAUUAUUAUAAUUAUUGUAGGCAUUAAUUGCAUAUUUACAUUUAUUCUACAUAAUUCAUUUAAGCGUUAUUUAAUAAUGUUUAUGAUAAUUUCGGGUUCUGUUGAAAAGAGUAAUAGAGAAAAAUUUGAAGCAUAUAUCUGAUGAAAUCUUGUGAUAAGCAUUUUGUAUAUCUGAGCUUUAUGGUUUGAACAUGCAUAAUGGGACCAUUAAUGGUUCUUUAUGUUUAGCAGAGGAUACCUUAUUAUAUAUAUUUUUUUGGUAAAUAUAAGAAUAGAAUACACGAAAUAGAAAAAUAUUUCCAUGUUUAUGUUUUUUAAAAUAUCAGUAAUUACAAGAUCUUUUCUGUAGUAUAAUAAGAAUUAUUAUAAUUUCAUCAUAAUAUUUUUUAUAAUUGAGAUAUAAAAAAAUUGUAGUAUGUUUCUCUUUAUAUAGUAUUGAUAAAUGUUUAAUCUUUCAUAUCAUAUAAUCAGUGUAUAGCUAAUUAACGUGCCAAACAAAAAAUAUAUAGCUAUGUUAUAUUUUUCUAAGAGUAAAUCUCAUAAAAGAACUGGUAUUAUCUACAAUAUAUAUUUUAUGAUCUUUGGAAGUACCAUUGUUCUAUUAUUUGAUAUAGUGUAUACACAAUUAAAUAUGGCUUUUUUUAAAUUGCUUUCGUAAUUUCAUUUUUGUUUUGCUUAAUAUUUCUGUUGUAAAUGCUAACUGUGUGUAACUUUUUUUAUUUACUUUGUUUGUAUAAAAUAAUUAUUAAUGUACUUAAAUAUUUUCCAUUAAUUACUAAAAAAUGUUACAUUGAUAAAUCAUACAUUAAAUGGUUUUUGUUUGAAAUUCUGAGAUAAUUAAAUUAUAAAAUAAUGCAGGCAAAAGUAUAUAUAGAAAAUAAAUGCUCUUUGUGCAUAUGUGGAUAUUCUUUUUGUAUAAUUUUCUUGUAGUAAAAUUAAAAAAUUUAAACAACUUUAUUAAUAAAAUUAUAAUUACUGUAAAUAAAAAGAUAAUAUUCAAAUUGUACAUAUGUAUAUUAAAAAUAAUUUUCUGAUUACAAUUAUAUGUGCAAUCGUCAUUUAAAAUUGUAGUGAUAGUUUUUAAUAUCUAGAUCUAAAUGUUUACAUCGAUAUAAUAUAAAACGUGACGAUGAAUUUAAUUGGUAUCUGUUUAAGCAUUCCAAAUUUUAUUUAUGAACAACUGUUUUACACAUGUUCAUAUUGUUUUUGCAGUACUAAGUGCUUUUAUAGUAGUUUAUAAAUAACUUGCAUUUUUUUGAGUUGUAGAAAUAAUUUUAUGAGAUUAUGAAUAUGUUUCAUAACUUUGUUAUAAGACAUUUUAAAAAGAAAAUUAUUGUAAAAAUAAAGGAGCUCUAAGUGUAUGCUUAGUAUUUUUAUUACUUUCAAUUAAUAUAAAAAAGUUAAAAAAAAAACAAUUUACGUAUUUAAUUAUAUGUAUAUUUAAGGCAAAGAGAAAAGAGUUGUAGGUCAUAAUAUGAUUUUUUAACAACAUAACGCUAGAAUAUAUAAUUUAUAUUAUAUUUAAAAUUCUAAUAACUGGAAACUUGCUACAAAUAUAUCGUUACAGCUAUUUUUAUUAUGGCUAUAGCAGCGAUAUAAAUAUAUGCAUAAAUAUGUCAUGUAAAGUGCGUGUUUAUUACUUAAAUAUUAGAUUAAUAAUCACUAGUUUUUGAUUUAAUAUUCAAAUCAAUCAAUUAAAUAAAAUAAUAAUGAAAUGUUAUUAUAAGAAGUCUAUGGAAAAUUAUAAUUUAAGAGAGAUAUUCUGCUUCCUAAUCUUGUAUUUUAUUGUUAGUUCGAAAAAAAAAAGAAUAUUUAACUAUAUGGCAAAUAUAUCUAUUAAAAUUUGAAGAUAAGCUUAUAUUUCUAUGGUGAUAAAAAGGGAGUCUUAUUGAAUGCCCUUUGUUUUGGCAGCAGAAAAUUUCUCCAAUGUAAUCGUGGUUUUGUUUGUGAUACUUCCGUAAAAUGCGCAAGGAACAUGAGUUACUGUGAAGUAGAACAAAGAGGCAGAUAAUGAUAAAUGAAUAAAAAUUAUAUUUUUCCAGCA